rnacentral:rRNA from 1 species
UACAGAGGGGGCAAGCGUUGUUCGGAAUCACUGGGCUUAAAGGGCGCGUAGGCGGGUGCUCAAGUCCGUGGUGAAAUCCUCCGGCUCAACCGGAGAACUGCCUCGGAUACUGGGCGUCUCGAGUGUGGUAGGGGUAUGCGGAACUAUCGGUGGAGCGGUGAAAUGCGUUGAUAUCGAUAGGAACUCCGGUGGCGAAGGCGGCAUACUGGACCACCACUGACGCUGAUGCGCGAAAGCCAGGGGAGCAAACGGG